rnacentral:rRNA from 1 species
AACGAACGCUGGCGGCAGGCCUAACACAUGCAAGUCGAGCGAAGCCUUCGGGCUUAGCGGCGGACGGGUGAGUAACGCGUGGGAACGUGCCCUUUGCUACGGAAUAGCCCCGGGAAACUGGGAGUAAUACCGUAUGUGCCCUUCGGGGGAAAGAUUUAUCGGCAAAGGAUCGGCCCGCGUUGGAUUAGGUAGUUGGUGGGGUAAUGGCCUACCAAGCCGACGAUCCAUAGCUGGUUUGAGAGGAUGAUCAGCCACACUGGGACUGAGACACGGCCCAGACUCCUACGGGAGGCAGCAGUGGGGAAUCUUAGACAAUGGGGGAAACCCUGAUCUAGCCAUGCCGCGUGAUCGAUGAAGGCCUUAGGGUUGUAAAGAUCUUUCAGUGGGGAAGAUAAUGACUGUACCCACAGAAGAAGCCCCGGCUAACUCCGUGCCAGCCGCCGCGGUAACAC